rnacentral:rRNA from 1 species
GUGAACGCUGGCGGUAGGCCUCACACCUGCCAGUCGCACGGCAGCACAGUAAGAGCUUGCUCUUACGGGUGGCGAGUGGCGGACGGGUGAGGAAUACAUCGGAAUCUACUUUUUCGUGGGGGAUAACGUAGGGAAACUUACGCUAAUACCGCAUACGACCUACGGGUGAAAGCAGGGGAUCUUCGGACCUUGCGCGAUUGAAUGAGCCGAUGUCGGAUUAGCUAGUUGGCGGGGUAAAGGCCCACCAAGGCGACGAUCCGUAGCUGGUCUGAGAGGAUGAUCAGCCACACUGGAACUGAGACACGGUCCAGACUCCUACGGGAGGCAGCAGUGGGGAAUAUUGGACAAUGGGCGCAAGCCUGAUCCAGCCAUACCGCGUGGGUGAAGAAGGCCUUCGGGUUGUAAAGACCUUUUGUUGGGAAAGAAAAGCAGCAGGUUAAUACCCCGCUGUUCUGACGGUACCCAAAGAAUAAGCACCGGCUAACUUCGUG